rnacentral:rRNA from 1 species
GUGGGGAAUAUUGGACAAUGGGCGAAAGCCUGAUCCAGCCAUGCCGCGUGUGUGAAGAAGGUCUUCGGAUUGUAAAGCACUUUAAGUUGGGAGGAAGGGCAGUAAGUUAAUACCUUGCUGUUUUGACGUUACCGACAGAAUAAGCACCGGCUAACUUCGUGCCAGCAGCCGCGGUAAUACGAAGGGUGCAAGCGUUAAUCGGAAUUACUGGGCGUAAAGCGCGCGUAGGUGGUUUUGUAAGUUGGAGGUGAAAUCCCCGGGCUCAACCUGGGAACGGCCUCCAAAACUGCAUGACUAGAGUACGGGAGAGGGUAGUGGAAUUUCCUGUGUAGCGGUGAAAUGCGUAGAUAUAAGAAGGAACACCAGUGGCGAAGGCGACUACCUGGACUGAUACUGACACUGAGGUGCGAAAGCGUGGGGAGCAAACAGGAUUAGAAACCCGUGUAGUCC